GUCGCAAGAUUAAAACUCAAAGGAAUUBACGGGGGCCCGCAVAAGCGGUGGAGCAUGUGGUUUAACKWYGAAGCAACGCGCAGAAUCUUACCAGCCCUUGACAUCCCGAUCGCGGUUACCAGAGAUGGUAUCCUUCAGUUAGGCUGGAUCGGUGGCAGGUGCUGCAUGGCUGUCGUCAGCUNGUGUCGUGAGAUGUUGGGUUAAGUCCCGCAACGAGCGCAYCCCUCGCCCUUAGUUGCCAUCAUUCAGUUGGGCACUCUAAGGGGACUGCCGGUGAUAAGCCGAGAGGAAGGUGGGGAUGACGUCAAGUCCUCAUGGCCCUUACGGGCUGGGCUACACACGUGCUACAAUGGUGGUGACAGUGGGCAGCGAGACCGCGAGGUCGAGCUAAUCUCCAAAAGCCAUCUCAGUUCGGAUUGCACUCUGCAACUCGAGUGCAUGAAGUUGGAAUCGCUAGUAAUCGUGGAUCAGAAUGCCACGGUGAAUACGUUCCCGGGCCUUGUACACACCGCCCGUCACACCAUGGGAGUUGGUUUUACCCGAAGGUGCUGUGCUAACCGCAAGGAGGCAGGCAACCACGGUAGGGUCAGCGACUGGGGUGAAGUCGU
rnacentral:rRNA from 1 species